CCCUUAGACGUUCUGGGCCGCACGCGCGCUACACUGACGAAGGCAACGAGCUACUCUUCACCGAAAGGUGUGGGUAAUCUUUUGAAACUUCGUCGUGCUGGGGAUAGAUCCUUGCAAUUUUUGAUCUUAAACGAGGAAUUUCUAGUAAGCGCAAGUCAUCAACUUGCGUUGAUUACGUCCCUGCCCUUUGUACACACCGCCCGUCGCUACUACCGAUUGAAUGGUUUAGUGAGGCCUUCGGAUCCGCGAUUUUAUUGUGGAGAAGUUGGACAAACUCAGUCAUUUAGAGGAAGUAAAAGUCGUAACA
rnacentral:rRNA from 1 species